CACAGGAAGAGAUGGUGUUGAGUGCCCUGCUCAAGCAAGCUUACAUUCUGGAGGGAGUGGGGUAACAUGACACAGAAGGUAAGGGUAGUUAAGGUAGAAAAGUAGGUUGCUAGAAUAGCUUAUUUAUUAAUUUAUUUACAUUUUUAUAUAAUGCUUGGUCAGCAUGGGGUCUCUAAUCACAGGGCAGCACAAGGCCAUACAUGUCGCGAUCUGUGAAAGAUUAAUGGGAGUUACAGUCCCGGAUACCAGCUGCUGCGGCCACUAUUUUAAUUCAGUCCUCUCCAAAUCAGGGCUGAAAAAAAGGCAACAGCUGCAUACAGUCUUAAAAUUAAAUGGUCCCCACCGCUAACCCUGGCACAAAACCCCAG